rnacentral:rRNA from 1 species
GACGAACGCUGGCGGCGUGCCUAAUACAUGCAAGUAGUACGCUGAAGAGAGGAGCUUGCUCUUCUUGGAUGAGUUGCGAACGGGUGAGUAACGCGUAGGUAACCUGCCUUGUAGCGGGGGAUAACUAUUGGAAACGAUAGCUAAUACCGCAUAACAAUGGAUGACACAUGUCAUUUAUUUGAAAGGGGCAAUUGCUCCACUACAAGAUGGACCUGCGUUGUAUUAGCUAGUAGGUGAGGUAACGGCUCACCUAGGCGACGAUACAUAGCCGACCUGAGAGGGUGAUCGGCCACACUGGGACUGAGACACGGCCCAGACUCCUACGGGAGGCAGCAGUAGGGAAUCUUCGGCAAUGGGGGCAACCCUGACCGAGCAACGCCGCGUGAGUGAAGAAGGUUUUCGGAUCGUAAGCUCUGUUGUAUAGUUCAAGAACGAGUGUGAGAGUGGAAAGUUCACACUGUGACGGUAGCU